rnacentral:rRNA from 1 species
CACGUAGGGGGCAAGCGUUGUCCGGAUUUAUUGGGCGUAAAGAGCUCGUAGGCGGCUUGGUAAGUCAGGUGUGAAACCCCCGGGCUCAACCCGGGGACGCCACCUGAUACUGCUAUGGCUUGAGUCCGGUAGCGGAGCGUGGAAUUCCUGGUGUAGCGGUGAAAUGCGCAGAUAUCAGGAGGAACACCAGCGGCGAAGGCGGCGCUCUGGGCCGGAACUGACGCUGAGGAGCGAAAGCUAGGGGAGCAAACGGG